GGAGAUGGCUCUCGGAAGAUUAGUAUAUUUGGCUAGUUUGUGGAUUUUUCUUCUAUCAAUAAAAGAUUGUGGUGGAUAUUACUAUAAUUAUUCUAGUUCUAGAGAUACAGGAAUUGGUACUGCCGUAGGAAUUGUCUCAUGGAUGCUCUCCAUGCUAUGCUGCUGUAUCUUCUGCUGCCGUGGCAAGAGAAACGUGGAUGAAAAUGUUAACAACGGUGAAAUGGAAGCCAAUCAAGGAAACCAACAAAGAAUCG